rnacentral:lncRNA from 1 species
UUCACUUUGUUCGUCUUAUGGCCAAGCUCUUGAUCUUCUUUUCUCAUGUUUAGGGGUUCGCAGGGUUCUAUGAGCUUCUUGGUUGUGAUAACAGCUUCUUCCUUGCUUCUCAAGUAAGAAAAAGGAGAAGAAGAAGAAGAAGAAGAAGACGGGACAGGGACACUGAGACUGUGAUUGUUGGUGUUCUUAGUGAAAUCAAAAGAUGUUUUUGGUGUUGAAGAAGAUGAUGGUGUUAAGAUCACCAUUGUUUUUUUUUUUUUGUGGGUUGCUUGAUUUUCUUCUUGUUUUUUUUUUCUUGCUUGUGUGUGAAUUAGAUUAAGGUAUAAAUAAGAAACAA